GCCGGGCAUGGUAGCUCAUGCCUGUAAUCCCAGUACUGUGGGAGGUUGAGAAGGGUGGCUCACCUGAGGUCAGGAGUUCAAGACCAGCCUGGCCAACAUGGUGAGAACCCAUCUCUA
rfam:Homo sapiens chromosome 5, GRCh38 reference primary assembly.